rnacentral:tRNA from 1 species
GCCUGGGUGGCUCAGUGGUUGAGCAUUUGCCUGCAGCUCAAGUCGUGAUCCCAGGGUCCUGGGAUCUAGUCCCACAUCAGGCU